rnacentral:tRNA from 1 species
GCCUGGGUGACUCAAUUAAGCGUCUGACUUCGGCUCAGAUCAUAAUCUUGCAGUCUGUGGGUUCGAGCCCCACAUCAGGCU